UGGGACUGAGACACGGCCCAGACUCCUACGGGAGGCAGCAGUAGGGAAUCUUCCGCAAUGGACGAAAGUCUGACGGAGCAACGCCGCGUGAACCAUGAAGGCCUUCGGGUCGUAAAGCUCUGUUGUUAGGGAAGAACAAGUAUCGGAGUAACUGCCG
rnacentral:rRNA from 1 species